GUUCAAAAAUACUCACUCGAAAGUAGAGGGGGCAUCGCUGUUUUGCUCCUUUUUCAUUUGAACAAGAAAUGCAUCGACAAAAUCUCCUCCUUCUCCUUCGAUGAC
rnacentral:snoRNA from 1 species